GACGAACGCUGGCGGCGUGCCUAAUACAUGCAAGUAAAACGCUGAAGAGAGGAGCUUGCUCUUCUUGGAUGAGUUGCGAACGGGUGAGUAACGCGUAGGUAACCUGCCUUGUAGCGGGGGAUAACUAUUGGAAACGAUAGCUAAUACCGCAUAACAAUGGAUGACACAUGUCAUUUAUUUGAAAGGGGCAAUUGCUCCACUACAAGAUGGACCUGCGUUGUAUUAGCUAGUAGGUGAGGUAAUGGCUCACCUAGGCGACGAUACAUAGCCGACCUGAGAGGGUGAUCGGCCACACUGGGACUGAGACACGGCCCAGACUCCUACGGGAGGCAGCAGUAGGGAAUCUUCGGCAAUGGGGGCAACCCUGACCGAGCAACGCCGCGUGAGUGAAGAAGGUUUUCGGAUCGUAAAGUUCUGUUGUAAGUCAAGAACGGGUGUGAGAGUGGAAAGUUCACACUGUGACGGUAGCUUACCAGAAAGGGACGGCUAACUACGUG
rnacentral:rRNA from 1 species